rnacentral:tRNA from 1 species
GGGACUAUAGUUAAAAAUAACAUUUAAUUUGCAAUUAAAAAGUAUUGAUUCAUUCAAUUUGUCUUA